rnacentral:rRNA from 1 species
GAUGAACGCUGGCGGCGUGCCUAAUACAUGCAAGUCGAGCGAACGGACGAGAAGCUUGCUUCUCUGAUGUUAGCGGCGGACGGGUGAGUAACACGUGGAUAACCUACCUAUAAGACUGGGAUAACUUCGGGAAACCGUAGCUAAUACCGGAUAAUAUUUUGAACCGCAUGGUUCAAAAGUGAAAGACGGUCUUGCUGUCACUUAUAGAUGUAUCCGCGCUGCAUUAGCUAGUUGGUAAGGUAACGGCUUACCAAGGCAACGAUGCAUAGCCGACCUGGGAGGGUGAUCGGCCACACUGGAACUGAGACACGGUCCAGACUCCUACGGGAGGCAGCAGUAGGGAAUCUUCCGCAAUGGGCGAAAGCCUGACGGAGCAACGCCGCGUGAGUGAUGAAGGUCUUCGGAUCGUAAAACUCUGUUAUUAGGGAAGAACAUAUGUGUAAGUAACUGUGCACAUCUUGACGGUACCUAAUCAGAAAGCCACGGCUAACUACGUG